CGAGGGUCCCGUUGUCAUUCCCCGGGCUGUCUGGGACCCGAAAGCGUCUUCCUUCAGUUUUCUUCUGCCCGUCAUCGGAGUAGUCUUCCCUCUGUCAUCGGCUAGUGCCGAUGGUGUUUUCCAGACGUGUUAUCGAGGGGAGGUGAAUUGAGACGGUAUACACCCCCACAAUGAGAAUCUUUUCUAUGCUUCCACUGUCUGGCCGCAUCUCCACAGGAAUAUCCUGCUCUUGGUUUUGCAAUGGGAUUUGGAAUCAGAGGGAACAGGGCAUUCCAGAAGGUCUGAGUCAGGAGAGACAAGAAACUCAGCGUCUGAGGGACGGAGUGAAAGACCGAAAACAAAAGACUUCCCCUGGCCAGCAACUCUUCACUCCGCCUGAUCGCCUUUGUAGAAAACUCUACUUGUGCUUUCCUUGAAUACAUGUCUUUAUAUUGAGGAUCGAAUGAACACCCUCCCUCCCC